UACGGAGGGCGCAAGCGUUGUUCGGAAUCACUGGGCGUAAAGCGGGUGUAGGCGGCUUGGCAAGUCGGGUGUGAAAGCCCGGGGCCUAACCCCGGAACUGCAUUCGAAACUGCCUCGCUCGAGUCCCGGAGAGGAUGGUGGAAUUCCAGGUGUAGUGGUGAAAUACGUAGAUAUCGGGAGGAGGACCAGCGGCGAAGGCGGCCAUCUGGACGGUGACUGACGCUGAGACGCGAAAGCGUGGGGAGCAAACAGG
rnacentral:rRNA from 1 species